AUGGCGGCGGUGAAGCGCGCCUACCUCGCCGUCUACAACUGGGCCGUCUUCUUCGGAUGGGCGCAGGUGCUCUACUUCGCCGUGGAGGCGCUGCUCCGGUCGGGGCACGAGGACGUGUACGCCGCCGUCGAGAGGCCGCUCCAGCUCGCGCAGACCGCCGCCGUCCUCGAGAUCCUCCACGGCCUCGUCGGCCUGGUGAGGUCGCCGGUGUCGGCCACGCUGCCGCAGAUCGGGUCGCGCCUCUUCGUCACCUGGGGCAUCCUCUGGAGCUUCCCCGAGACCAGGACACACAUCCUGGUGAGCUCCUUGGUCAUCAGCUGGUCCAUCACCGAGAUUAUUAGGUACUCUUUUUUCGGCACAAAAGAGCUGUUUGGAUCUGCCCCAUCAUCGCUUCUAUGGCUUAGGUAUAGCUCUUUCCUAGUCAUGUACCCAACCGGCAUCAGCAGCGAGGUUGGCUUGAUAUACAUUGCGUUGCAGUUCAUCAAGGCAUCAGAGAAGUACUGCAUUAGAAUGCCCAACAAAUGGAACUAUUCAUUUGACUACUUCUAUGCAUCAAUCCUGGUACUCCUAGUCUAUGUUCCAGGAAGCCCGCAUAUGUACACGUACAUGCUUGGGCAGCGCAAGAAGGCGCUUGCAAAGUCGAAGACUGCGUAA
rnacentral:rRNA from 1 species